UGGAUGACAGAGCCGGCGGCGGGCGGCGGCGCGGGCCCGUUGUUGACCGGGCUGACAGCAGGAAAGACGCGGCCAAUGGCUGCGAGCGCCAGAGGCCGGGGAGCAGGCUAGGCGCUGGGUGCUGGUCGGCUGUUGGAGCGCUGGUGGGAAUGGCAGCGGGGCCGGGAGAGCGGCGGCUCUAGGCGCCGGGUGGGUCGCGGCAGCCGGCUGCGGGGUUCGCCCUUUGUCUGCACCCUUCCAAAAUGGCUGCGGCCAGGGCGGGCGGUGACAGCUGCGCGGGCGCUCCCGGGGCCCCGGCGGUCAGAGAGGAGCAGGAGUCCUGGCACGAAGGCGCUUUCGGGGCGGAGAGGUGCGCAGAGGACGCCGCGGACACGACGGGUCAGCUCCCCUGACUUACAGCGGCCGAAAACAAAUUCCAGAUGGCAAAGCUUGUUGGGGACCUCAACGCAACUGACCUUCCUAGAAUCAUCGUCACCUCUGAAGAGACUUGCCACGGUCUGCACAGAUCCAGCACUGGGGAAUGAGGAAUUUGACACUGUAAUUUUUUUUUUUUCCUUUCGUGCCUUGAAAGAGACUCUUCCCACCAGCUUUUACUACCCACACACACCCUCCAUGCACUCGGAAGAUGAAGGCAGGAGGAAAAGGAGUUCAACCUUUGUUAUGCAUUUAGUUGGAGGCCAGCCUGGGGGUCUUGUGGGGCCCUGUAUCAAAAAGGUGAGGUGAGAACUAUUCUCUCAAAAGCAGAGUAUAAACUCUCAGCCUGUGUGCUGAUCCUGUCCCAGCCUUUUAAACUAAAUGAGUUAUAUAACUACUAUACAAACCCCACCCUACCCCAGCUGUCCUCUAAGCAAUAGUCUACCUAAGGAACUGUGCGCCUUGAAGCCAAAAAACAAAACAAACAAACAAACCCCACAGUGCCCUCACUUGCAAAGUGUGCUUGGGAAUCCUUAAAUAACAGAAAUUUUGUUCUUGAACAUCAGCCUCCAGAUUUGGAAAGCCAGUAAAAAGAAAGAGACAAUGAGGAAGCAGGUUGGGUGCUAGAAGCCAGUAUAGGCUUGACACACACUAGAAGGAACAGAAAUUCACAGUUGUAAAUAAAACCCACGAGUCUUCUUUUGACACAGGAGAACACGUUCAGGGCCAAGAGCAUCAUCCUGAGUGAGUGGGACACUACUUAGUCACAGCCCCCAGCCACAAGUCACAGAAUUCUUUACUCUUGAUAAUGGUUUGAAGAUUUUAAAGUGGACCAAAGGAUCAGAAGGUUCUUGCUAAUCCUCUUGAUGCCGGUUAAUGGGACCCACCAGUUAGGUGUACAGUAGCCUGUACCCCGAAGCCAUUAGGUGACAGGGAGCACAACAAUGAGAGCCAUAGCAAAGCCCAGGCUCUGGAGCUCACAGGCCUCUUGGUACCACGGUACACAGCCUCCUUCCAUUCUUAAGCAUCUGCUAAUGACACAGCCCCUGAGCCACCAAGACUUAAGUUACAGGUGCAGGGUUUAGGGUCUGUGCCCACCAGUCCCUUCAUUCCUUGCUGCAGAGCCCAGUGUGGGAGCCACACAUCUUUCAGGUAGCUGUUUUCAAGUGCAGAGCUCUUAAGACUGAAGUGGGUGGAGCUAAAAAGUCUCCUCCCCUCCUCAAAAUCUAUAUGCAAGGGGCAGUAGACACUAUUAAAGCCUUAACCUUUGUCACUCUGGAGACUGAAGAACAAAUUUUCUUUAAAUUGUCUCUCCCUUUGAUACAUUGCCAUAGGCCAUUAUGACUUUCAUAGUUUGAACUAGCAUUAAAAGAGAAAAGGAAGAAUCAUUAAAUAUAAAGUAUAAAUAAAACACCCAUUUUGUAGAAACAGGGGACAACCUUUUGCAAGUAGGUUCCUGCCACCAUAGGUUUAAGGGAUCAAAUUUUUAUCAGGCUAAUAUGGCAACUACUUUUAUCUGCUUAACCAUUUCACCAGCACAAGAUGUUUAAUUAGCAUCUUGUGUUGCACAUGCUAGCCUUGAUAGGCUCAUUCCAUCCUGUCAGCCUUUCACAUAGCUGGUACCUCUCAUCUUCUAGUGAUACCAGUUCCUGGAUUUGGGACCUACCAAAUUCCAAGAUCACUUUGAAAAGUUUUUAACACAUUACAACUGCAACUCCUUUGCUUGAGACCAGGCUUGGGUGGCCACCAGUCUUAGGACUAAUGCAUUGAGUGCUCUCUGCAAGGCCAAAGAGGAACUGAGGUUAGAAGGCUUAAGUUUGUGGCUGGGUCUCACUCUUGGUAAGGGUAUAAAGCCAAGUCUCAGACACUAAGGUUGCUGGGCACUAGUAGCACUCUUCCCAUGCUGAGGUUAGCUAUCCUUUUGUCCACACGUCAAUGGACAUCAUGGGUCUGGUGUCUGCUCCUCCUGCCUUCUCCUUUUGAAACUAACCCCGGUCUCCAGAGCCAGCUGUCUAUAAAACUCCAGAAUGACUCAUGACAACAUUCUCUUGGCUGACUCCCACAAAGGACUAACUAUAGCUGUGUGACCGGGUUUACAGUUCAGCUCAGAGGAGCUUACUCAGAGUGCAUGAGGGAGCCCAGCCUGUCAGCAUGCCUGCACUUGGCUUCCCGAGCCUCCACCUCCCGAGUGUUUCAUCAUCAGCCUCACUUCCCAGGAAAAGGCAGCCAUACCUCCUGCGAGGUGCACUGUCGCUCUGCUCUAUCCGGUGGUUCCCUGAGGGUUUCCUUUUUGGUUGAUUUCUAAUAAAACUUGCCUCCCCCACCCCCACCCCCCAUUCAGCUCACAUGUCCAGUUUAUAAAAUCCUAACUCAAUUUGGAACAGAGUAUAGUGGUACACACAUAUAGUACCAGCACUUCAGAAGUGGAAGCAGGAAUUGUUCAAGGCCAGCCUCAGCUACAUAAUAAUGUGGAGAGCUGCUGGUCCACAUAAAACUGUCUUGAAAGAUAAAAAAUAAACAACAAUAACAGCAAAACCCCAGCAAACCUCAACUCACGUCCCUGAAAACUUAGUGCCGUUAAGUGUUGAAUGAUCACAUUUAAGGUUUGGUGGCUGGCAUGGUUAGGAAGAGCUAGUGAGAUGCCUCAGUCACUGAGGAUGCACCCUAAGAAGAGGGUGGAGCCCAGCACUUUUCCUCUCUGUGAGAGAGUGCCUGGCAGAAGAGCCUCAGUGAGGAAGAGCAUGCAGGAGCAGACAUGGCAGGAGAACAGCCCAUGGCUUGCAGUGUCAGGAGGUUGAGGAUAAUUGUAACCCACAAGAAGGAAGCAAGCAAGACCUGGCAGCCCUACUUGAAGGCCUCCCCUCUGAGCAUCCUGUUUCAUCUGCCUAGACUCCACCUCCUAUAGGCGUCACCAGCUGGGGACCAAGUGACCAAAUGGUUGACCACUCAGAAUUUGAAAUGCAAGUCGGGUGGUGACAUGCCUUGAAUCCCAGCAGAGGCAGGCAGACAGCCAGGGUUCACAGAGAACCCAGUUACACAUAAAAUAAAAAGUACCUCAGUAUGAAACAAAUGAAAAACACGAGACCCGUAGUCGGGUAAUCUUAAACGUAACUGGGGUAAGUUGGAGGAGAGCAUGGGAGAUGCCUGAGUGAGCCAGGUGCUCACUGUGCAAGCUGGAGCUGGGUUCAGAUCUGCACAGCUUCUGUAAGAGCCAAGCACGGGUGGCAGCCACCUGUAACCCCAGCACUCAGGAGGCAGACCAGACUCCCAGAUCAAGCUGGCUAACUAGCUGAGCUCUGGUGAGCUCUGGGUUCAUCAAGACAGCCUGCCUCUUGAAUGAAGUGGGACACAAUCAUGACAUUGUAAAAAUGCCAUUUCUCCCCAGUGUCAGCUACAGACUUGGUGCAAAAUGCAGUUUAACACCUACCCCCGAAUUGUUUUGCUUUUUUUUUUUUUUUUAAUCAUUGAUAAGGGGCUGAAGAGAUGGCUCAGUGGUUAAGAGCACUCACUGCUCUUCUGAAGGUCCUGAGUUCAAAUCCCAG
rnacentral:lncRNA from 1 species